UACGUAGGGGGCAAGCGUUGUCCGGAAUCAUUGGGCGUAAAGAGCGUGUAGGCGGCCCGAUAAGUCCGCUGUGAAAGUCGAGGGCUCAACCCUCGAAUGCCGGCGGAUACUGUCGGGCUAGAGUCCGGAAGAGGCGAGUGGAAUUCCUGGUGUAGCGGUGAAAUGCGCAGAUAUCAGGAGGAACACCAAUUGCGAAGGCAGCUCGCUGGGACGUUACUGACGCUGAGACGCGAAAGCGUGGGGAGCAAACAGG
rnacentral:rRNA from 1 species